UACGAAGGGGGCUAGCGUUGCUCGGAAUUACUGGGCGUAAAGGGCGCGUAGGCGGAAUGGCAAGUCGGUCGUGAAAUCCUUCGGCUCAACCGAAGAACGUCGAUCGAAACUGCCGUUCUUGAGGAUUGCAGAGGAGACUGGAAUUCCCGGUGUAGCGGUGAAAUGUGUAGAGAUCGGGAGGAACACCGGUGGCGAAGGCGGGUCUCUGGGCAAUUCCUGACGCUGAGGCGCGAAAGCGUGGGGAGCAAACGGG
rnacentral:rRNA from 1 species